CAGUCGCCGCGGUAAUACGUAGGGUGCAAGCGUUAAUCGGAAUUACUGGGCGUAAAGCGUGCGCAGGCGGCUAUGCAAGACAGAUGUGAAAUCCCCGGGCUCAACCUGGGAACUGCAUUUGUGACUGCAUGGCUAGAGUACGGUAGAGGGGGAUGGAAUUCCGCGUGUAGCAGUGAAAUGCGUAGAUAUGCGGAGGAACACCGAUGGCGAAGGCAAUCCCCUGGACCUGUACUGACGCUCAUGCACGAAAGCGUGGGGAGCAAACAGGAUUAGAUACCCGAGUAGUCCCUGUCUCUUAUAC
rnacentral:rRNA from 1 species